rnacentral:rRNA from 1 species
GAUGAACGCCGGCGGUGUGCCUAAUACAUGCAAGUCGAACGCGUUGGCCCAAUUGAUUGAUGGUGCUUGCACCUGAUUGAUUUUGGUUGCCAGCGAGUGGCGGACGGGUGAGUAACACGUAGGUAACCUGCCCAGAAGUGGGGGACAACAUUUGGAAACAGAUGCUAAUACCGCAUAACAACGUUGUUCGCAUGAACAACGCUUAAAAGAUGGCUUCUCGCUAUCACUUCUGGAUGGACCUGCGGUGCAUUAGCUUGUUGGUGGGGUAACGGCCUACCAAGGCGAUGAUGCAUAGCCGAGUUGAGAGACUGAUCGGCCACAAUGGGACUGAGACACGGCCCAUACUCCUACGGGAGGCAGCAGUAGGGAAUCUUCCACAAUGGGCGCAAGCCUGAUGGAGCAACACCGCGUGAGUGAAGAAGGGUUUCGGCUCGUAAAGCUCUGUUGUUAAAGAAGAACACGUAUGAGAGUAACUGUUCAUACGUUGACGGUAUUUAACCAGAAAGUCACGGCUAACUACGUGCCAGCAGCCGCGGUAAUACGUAGGUGGCAAGCGUUAUCCGGAUUUAUUGGGCGUAAAGAGAGUGCAGGCGGUUUUCUAAGUCUGAUGUGAAAGCCUUCGGCUUAACCGGAGAAGUGCAUCGGAAACUGGAUAACUUGAGUGCAGAAGAGGGUAGUGGAACUCCAUGUGUAGCGGUGGAAUGCGUAGAUAUAUGGAAGAACACCAGUGGCGAAGGCGGCUACCUGGUCUGCAACUGACGCUGAGACUCGAAAGCAUGGGUAGCGAACAGG